AGAGUUUGAUCCUGGCUCAGAUUGAACGCUGGCGGCAUGCCUUACACAUGCAAGUCGAACGGCAGCACGGGGGCAACCCUGGUGGCGAGUGGCGAACGGGUGGGUAAUGCAUCGGAACGUACCCGGAAGUGGGGGAUAGCCCGGCGAAAGCCGGAUUAACACCGCAUAUUCUGUGAGCAGGAAAGCAGGGGAUCGCAGGACCUUGCGCUUUCGGAGCGGCCGAUGUCGGAUUAGCUAGUUGGUGGGGUAAAGGCCUACCAAGGCGACGAUCCGUAGCUGGUCUGAGAGGAUGAUCAGCCACACUGGGACUGAGACACGGCCCAGACUCCUACGGGAGGCAGCAGUGGGGAAUUUUGGACAAUGGGCGAAAGCCUGAUCCAGCCAUGCCGCGUGAGUGAAGAAGGCCUUCGGGUUGUAAAGCUCUUUCGGCCGGGAAGAAAUCGCAUCAGUUAAUACCUGGUGUGGAUGACGGUACCGGAAUAAGAAGCACCGGCUAACUACGUGCCAGCAGCCGCGGUAAUACGUAGGGUGCGAGCGUUAAUC
rnacentral:rRNA from 1 species